GCUUCGGUGGUGGAUUAGUGGCGAACGGGUGAGUAACACGUGGGCAAUCUGCCCUUCACUCUGGGACAAGCCCUGGAAACGGGGUCUAAUACCGGAUAAUACUCUGUUCCGCAUGGAACGGGGUUGAAAGCUCCGGCGGUGAAGGAUGAGCCCGCGGCCUAUCAGCUUGUUGGUGGGGUAAUGGCCUACCAAGGCGACGACGGGUAGCCGGCCUGAGAGGGCGACCGGCCACACUGGGACUGAGACACGGCCCAGACUCCUACGGGAGGCAGCAGUGGGGAAUAUUGCACAAUGGGCGAAAGCCUGAUGCAGCGACGCCGCGUGAGGGAUGACGGCCUUCGGGUUGUAAACCUCUUUCAGCAGGGAAGAAGCGCAAGUGACGGUACCUGCAGAAGAAGCGCCGGCUAACUACGUGCCAGCAGCCGCGGUAAUACGUAGGGCGCAAGCGUUGUCCGGAAUUAUUGGGCGUAAAGAGCUCGUAGGCGGCUUGUCACGUCGGAUGUGAAAGCCCGGGGCUUAACCCCGGGUCUGCAUUCGAUACGGGCUAGCUAGAGUGUGGUAGGGGAGAUCGGAAUUCCUGGUGUAGCGGUGAAAUGCGCAGAUAUCAGGAGGAACACCGGUGGCGAAGGCGGAUCUCUGGGCCAUUACUGACGCUGAGGAGCGAAAGCGUGGGGAGCGAACAGGAUUAGAUACCCUGGUAGUCCACGCCGUAACGUUGGGAACUAGGUGUUGGCGACAUUCCACGUCGUCGGUGCCGCAGCUAACGCAUUAAGUUCCCCG
rnacentral:rRNA from 1 species